UGCUUCAACCUUGAGACAAGGAGCUUUGAGAUGACUUUAUAAAGGGUAUUCAAGCAGGAUAUGGGUCUGAAGUCCGAGAUAAGAGAAGCACCAGGGGACUUGGGAAUCAGGGCUAGGAUAGUUGCAUUUACAGCCGCCGGGAGGAAAGCUGAAUGAAAGAACUGCAUAAUGCUACCAGUAACAUCCGAGCCAAGAAUUUCCCAAGCAGUCUUGUAGAAAUUUGAGCUCAGGGGAACAACGGUAUUGGAUAAUACUUUGAAGCCAGUUAAGAGAGACAGCGAUUGGUGGCAGAGAGUGGGGACCAAGUAUGGAUUGGAAGUGUGCUACUGCUAUUCGACUCAUUUCUAGAGGGUCAUCCACCAUAGUGCCUGAAGUCGAGGAGAAGGAUCUUAUGGCAUUGAAGGCGUUUCUGGUUAAAGUCACUCGAUGAAAGUAAGAUGUGUUCAAGUCCCCUUCUUUUAACCAGUUGAUACGAGAUCUUUGUUUGAAAUAGGCUUCUUCAAUCUUUCUGAGGAAUUCCCAUCGAGUGUGAAGAGCACGUUCUUGUUGGAAUAGGGCAGAAGAAGGUGUGGCCAUCGCUUGUACCUGCACAUUGUUUAAUAAAAGCACUCAAAACAGCUAAACUUGUUUCCAAGGGAUGUAAAGUUCCAGCCAAGAUCCAUGCAGUCUCAAUCGUUUGGAGGAAUUGGGGAUGAGAGGUUAGGAAGUUAAAGAAUUUGAAAGGUUUGGUGCCAGCACACGGGAGGGAGGUUUCCAGGUUGAGAAGACAAGACGAAUGAUCAGAAACUUCAGAAGCCAGGAAGGAAGCCACACUAUUGGGGUGAAGAAGGGACCUUGAUGACGGAGAUCAAACAGCUCCAUUUGCAGGAGGCAAUCGCGAAGUUCUAUCAUACGCGAGGACCAGUGGUCAACAUUCGGGUUUGAGUGCUCAGCUGGAUGGAUGAUUUGGUUGAAAUCCCUUCCAAGAAGUCAAGGUUGUGAAUCCACCUGGAGUCUUUGUUGAAGGUUGAUCAACUCACACCAGAGGAGAUUUCCACACGAUGAUUACUCUACCAUCCGGAUCAGAAGCAUGGUUAGAGACAAAUUGCCAACCAGGACAGGUAAGGUUCAUAACUCUGUUCAAAUUUGGUUCCUUGAUA